rfam:Macrostomum lignano uti_cns_0048911, whole genome shotgun sequence.
UGACCUCGGAUCAGACGUGAUUACCCGCUGAAUUUAAGCAUAUUAUUAAGCGGAGGAAAAGAAACUAACAAGGAUUCCCCUAGUAACGGCGAGUGAACGGGGAAGAGCCCAACACCGAAUCCCUUGGCGCAAGUCAACGGGAAAUGUGGUGUUAAGGUAGCCCUUCGUGUCAGUCUAGGCGUCUCAAGUCCACCUGAUUGUGGCUCAAGCCCAGAGAGGGUGUAAGGCCCGUAGAGACGCUCCGACUGAUUCCUGGGGUUUACCUACGAGUCGGCUUGUUUGGGAAUGCAGGCCAAAGCGGGUGGUAAACUCCAUCCAAGGCUAAAUACUGGCACGAGUCCGAUAGCGGACAAGUACCGUGAGGGAAAGUUGAAAAGAACUUUGAAGAGAGAGUUCAAUAGUACGUGAAACCGCUUAGAGGCAAACGGAUGGUGCUCAUACUGGCCUGAGGAAUUCAACUGUGACGGUGGCUGGACGAGCUGGCGUUCCGAUCUCUCUUUUGGGACGGGCGUCGGUUUGGCUAUCAGCUCUGACAUGGUGCACUUUCCUUGGUGCCUCCGCCACGACCGACGACACUGGCUACCCGCGGCUGGGGUAAGGUGACAAACUGCUUCGGCAAUUUGUGUUAUAGACCCCGGCGUCGGACAUGGUUUGGCCAGGACGUCGAGCUUGCGGCGCCCGCUCCUUGUGGGCUCGCAUGUUGGCUAGCUUGGCUGCGCCGAUGCUUGCACUGGACAACCAGUACAGGUGACGGUUGUGGUCUUGUCUCUAGUUGGCCUCUGCGAGUUUGGCGCCUAUAGUCUGUGGUGUACUUGUGGGUAGACUAUCCGACCCGUCUUGAAACACGGACCAAGGAGUCUAACAUGUGCGCGAGUCAUGGGGAUUCUACGAAACCCAAAGGCGCAGUGAAAGUAAAGGCCUGCUUCUCGUAGGCUGAGGUGGGAUCUCGUGCAUCGCGAUUGGCGAGCGCACCACCGGCCCGUCCUAUCUGUCUCUGUCAGUGGGGCGGCGCAAGAGCGUACACGUUGGGACCCGAAAGAUGGUGAACUAUGCUUGCGCAGCUCGAAGUCAGUGGAAACACUGAUGGAGGAGCGCAGCGUUUCUGACGUGCAAAUCGAUCGUCAAACGUGAGUAUAGGGGCGAAAGACUAAUCGAACCAUCUAGUAGCUGGUUCCCUCCGAAGUUUCCCUCAGGAUAGCUGGCACUCGGGAAACAGUUUUAUCCGGUAAAGCGAAUGAUUAGAGGCAUUGGGGUCGAAACGACCUCGACCUAUUCUCAAACUUUAAAUGGGUAAGAUGCUCGUCUCGCUUAAUUGGAGGCGGGCUUCACCUCUCUAACGUGAAUGUGAGUGCCCAGUGGGCCAUUUUUGGUAAGCAGAACUGGCGCUGUGGGAUGAACCAAACGCGCGGUUAAGGCGCCCAAUGCGGACGCUCAUGAGACACCACAAAAGGUGUUGGUCGAUACUGACAGCAGGACGGUGGCCAUGGAAGUCGGAACCCGCUAAGGAGUGUGUAACAACUCACCUGCCGAAUCAACCAGCCCUGAAAUGGAUGGAUGGCGCUGGAGCGUCGGGCCUAUACCGUGCCGUUGGGGCGAAGCAGACAAAUAAUCUGUGUGGAUGUCCCAACGAGUAGGAGGGUCGCCGUGGUGAGCGCAGAAGGUGCGGCCGUGAGGCCGGCUGGAGCCGCCACGGGCGCAGAUCUUGGUGGUAGUAGCAAUUACUCAAGUGAGAACCUUGAGGACUGAAGUGGAGAAGGGUUCCAUGUGAACAGCAGUUGAACAUGGGUCAGGCGGUCCUAAGCGAUCGGGUAACUCCGUACCUAGACGAGGGUGACAACUAUCACUUAACUAAAUUGUGACGUGUUAUAGCCCUCCGGAGCGAAAGGGAAUCGUGUUAAUAUUCACGACCCUUACCGUGGAGAUCGCCCCUUUUCGGGGGGCAAGUGCGGUAACGCAAACGAACACAGAGACGUCGGCUGGAGCCCCGGGAAGAGUUCUCUUUUCUUUGUAAGGAGCGUACCCCCUGGAAUCGGCUUGUCCGGAGAUAGGGGCGUGGCUUCCGUAAAGCAGCGCGCGGGUCUUGCGCUGUCCGGUGCACUCUAGUCGGCCCUUGAAAAUCUGUGGGAGACAGUGUGAUUUUCACGGUAGGCCGUACCCAUAUCCGCAGCAGGUCUCCAAGGUGAAACAGCCUCUAGUCCUAGAACAAUGUAGGUAAGGGAAGUCGGCAAAAUGGAUCCGUAACUUCGGGAAAAGGAUUGGCUCUGAGGCUGGGUCGGAUGGGCUGGCGUAAGAAGAAGCUGUUCCGGUUUUGGUGAGGACUGGGCGAGGCUUUCGGGCUUUACUCGGACCAUGCCGAGACCAGGCAGUAGACGACGUCAGCUGUGCUUGUCGUGUUUCGGCGCGGCAGCCUUCGUCCGGCAACAAAACAGCCAACUCAGAACUGGCACGGACUAGGGGAAUCCCGACUGUCUAAUUAAAACAAAAGGCAUUGGCGAUGGCUGUUGCUGUUGGCUCGUUGACGCAAUGUGAUAUUUUCUGCCCAGUGCUCUGAAUGUCAAAGUGAAGAAAUUCAAUCAAGCGCGGGUAAACGGCGGGCGAGUAACUAAUGGACUCUUUAGGUAGGCAAAUGCCAUCGUCCAUCUAAUCUAGUGAACGCGCAUGAAUGGAUUAAACAGAGAUUUCACCACUGUCCCUAUCUACUAUCUAGCGAAACCACAGCCAAAGGGAACACGGGCCUUGGCACGAAUCAGCGGGGAAAGAAGACCCUGUUGAGCUUGACUCUAGUCCGACUUUGUGAAGAGACAUGAGAGGUGUAGUAUAGGUGGUGGAGCGUCAGCGACUUUGAAAUACCCACUACUUUCUAUCGUUUCUUUUACUUAGUUCAGUGAAGGCGGGACGAGCGGCCUUCACGCGCGGCUCGGUUUCUGCGGGCUCGUUAAACGGCUGGCCCUCGCGCCCCGGCCGUGACCUCGCCUCUGGACAGACCCCCAGUGUCACGCGGGAGUUUGACUGGGCGAACCAUCCCUGUCAAAAGCGGCUUCGUCCCGGUAACGCAGGUC